rnacentral:lncRNA from 1 species
GAAGAUAAAUUAGCAACAAAAAUAACACUUACCAACAAUUCCCAACUAAAAGAACUAGCAAAUAGCUCUUAGAAAAUGUCUAAAAACCGUUGGCUACUUGAGAACAUUAUACAGAAAGCCAGCAACCAUCAUCCAUUUGUAAAAAAAGAACACUCAGGAAAUGUUAUGGAACUCUUGUACUGUACAUUUUUUUCAGCCAAUUUUUUAGCGUGUAGGUAUAUUUUUAGAGAAUGGAAACAUGUUCAUCCUUUGCACAGCCUUUAGAGCACACAGUUGGGUUCAUUAUUGGAGCACAUUAGCUCUAAGCUAAGAUUAUGAUAAAACCAAAUAAAAUAUGAACCAUAAGCAUUUUAAAGAAAAGCAUAUCAUUUGGCAAUAAUUCUAUUGAUAAUCAAACUCCACCCAUUGUUGGGGACGAGGUCCUUAACAUCCACCUCUAAUGCAUAGCAUGCGCUCAUGUCCUCCCUUAACACCAUAUCUUUUAAUACAAUAAUCUCCAGUAUCUCAACCAGUAAGAACCUCUGAAAAUUAAAAAUAUUUAAUAUUUUAAAAUCAAAACAAUAUUACAGCGACAUAGCUAUACAUAUCCCAACAUAAAACAUAUACCCCUCCCAAGCCAACCCCCAUCCAUGAGAAAUGUUUUUAGGUUUUCUUUAGGAAUCAUGGCUGUUCUCAAAACUGAUGUAACAAAUUGAUAGUAAAAAAGAGAUGUUGAAUAGUUUUACUGCAAAAGGUACACCAUUUUGUUCCCAUUCAAUUAUCGUUUCACUAGGUUGUCUUUGUUCAACAUA